rnacentral:lncRNA from 1 species
CAAAAGUACCUAUUAAAUUAAUCCAGAAUAAAGAUGAAUAAGAUUGAGAUAACUUAAAGAGCAAAAUAAGAAUUCUGUUACAUGUGUUACUAGACAUUCUUACACUACCGAGAAGACGUUCAAUUUUCAAAGAAGCAGAAUAAUGAACCAAGUCUCUAGCAGGCUUCAGUAACGAGAGAAACGGUUUACACAAGAUCUACUUUAGUGUCCAGCCAUAGAAAUCUGAUCAAUCCCUUUUAACAAUUUUACAUCAAUGAUCCAAUAACACAAAAAAUUGAUAUAUGAAAUAAAAUCACACAUGAAAGCCAUCUAACAAAGAAAUGGGGAUCCAUCAACAACAUUCAUCAAGCUAUUGUAUUAAGAUGGGAUAAGGACAAAAAAACAUUCUAUAGAUGCAUCUGAGCUUUGAUUCCUUGACAAAUUUUGGAGUUUAAACACCAACAAAACAGCGUACAAGACCUCGACAGAAGCUCGACCAAUCCUCCUCGAACUCGGCUAUGAUGGACAUCUCGACUCGAUUAUUUGACUUUGGAUUGGAAUGCUCGACUUCAAAACAAAUCAAGUAGCUUGCCUCCAUGAAUUCCGAUUGAGGAUGAACUGAAGCUUUGUGUAACAAGUAGUUCUGAAACUCCGGGAAUCAAAUGGUAAUUGACUGGUUAUGAGGGUUAAUUUUCGCAGGUUUCCAGCUAAACUCGCCGGUGAUGGAGGUGAGACUGAAACCAAAGAGAAAGGGAUUUGGAAGGGUGAUAUCAUCUCCUUAUUUUUGUUCCCCUACUUCUCUGUUACACUUCAGCUGUUUGGAAUAGAGAUGGGUCGUUGGGUAGGGGGAAUCCGCUGGGUUCUGGUUUUUUUGUGAGAGGUGGGGUGUGUGAGGAAGAUGAAGUUUCAGGGUGUGGGGUGCUUGUUUUCUCAGCGGCGCUUUUGAAACCUAGGGGUAUUAGAGUCUAUUUUAGGCCCUAUUUGUAUUUUUUGUGUCCUCUCAUUUCAAGCGUUAGUCUACAUUGUAUAGGUCUAGGCUUAGGUUAUUUUUUUUUGCUAUUAGGUUUUUAAGGUCUUUUUAUUUAUUAUUUUUCCAUAAAAGAGUUUAGAAAAGUCCCUAGGGUUAGCUUAAUAGGUAUUGCGUAUUGAGCUUAAUGAAAUAAGCUAGAAACUUGGGCUUUUAUGACUAGCUAUGCUUAAAAUUAGCUUAAUUAACUAAAAAUCUAUCUAUAUA